GCUCAGAACAGAUUUUUGCUUUACAUAUAAAUUAGAUAUUCCUUUUGAAGACUAAAAUAUACCAAGAAAUCGAGCAGCAGACUAAUAAAAAAUCAAUAUAACUAAUAACUCAGGUAGCCCAAGUGUGAGUGGGACCAGGUAGGCCUAAUUGGGAGGUCAGGUUAUGUAUUUAACUAUUUAUAUAUUUAUUUAUUCAUCCGUUUGUUGAUCCAUUUUUUUAUUUAUUUUUCAUACACUUAUCGAUAUAUCUAUUCAAUUGUUCAUUCACUCAUAUCCAGUAAUUCCUCUUUCAUAUUGUUUUGUAUUUGGUUUCGAAUGGGAAAUGCGAGUUUUUCCACACAAGGGGAGGCUACGAUUUUUGGGGGAAGGUGGGGAGGGAGAGGAAGGUUUAGGGGAGAUGGGGAGGAGAGGAGGAUGGGAGGACGGUGGGAGGGGCGGAGUGGCUGAAGAACGAGAAGAUGAACAGGUUGAGGAGGACGUGGUUGCGAAAGGUGGAGUGAGUAUCAUAAGGUGGAGAGAGUAAGUGGCGUGAACAAAUGAAGGUGGAGAGAAGUGAAAUGAAUAUCUGAAGGUGGAGAGAAAAAGUGAAAUGAAUAUCUGAAGGUGGAGAGAAGUGAGGUGAAUAUCUGAAGGUGGAGAGAAGAAGUGAAGUGAAUAUCUGAAGGUGGAGAGAAGAAGUGACGUGAAUAUCUGAAGGUGGAGAGAAGAAGUGAAGUGAAUAUCUGAAGGUGGAGAGAAGAAGUGACGUGAAUAUCUGAAGGUGGAGAGAAGAAGUGAAGUGAAUAUCUGAAGGUGGAGAGAAGAAGUGAAGUGAAUAUCUGAAGGUGGAGAGAAGAAGUGACGUGAAUAUCUGAAGGUGGAGAGAAGAAGUGAAGUGAAUAUCUGAAGGUGGAGAGAAGAAGUGAAGUGAAUAUCUGAAGGUGGAGAGAAGAAGUGAAGUGAAUAUCUGAAGGUGGAGAGAAGAAGUGAAGUGAAUAUCUGAAGGUGGAGAGAAGAAGUGACGUGAAUAUCUGAAGGUGGAGAGAAGAAGUGAAGUGAAUAUCUGAAGGUGGAGAGAAGAAGUGACGUGAAUAUCUGA